rnacentral:rRNA from 1 species
AACCGGAUUAGAUACCCUGGUAGUCCACGCCGUAAACGAUGUCGACUUGGAGGCUGUUUCCUUGAGAAGUGGCUUCCGGAGCUAACGCGUUAAGUCGACCGCCUGGGGAGUACGGCCGCAAGGUUAAAACUCAAAUGAAUUGACGGGGGCCCGCACAAGCGGUGGAGCAUGUGGUUUAAUUCGAUGCAACGCGAAGAACCUUACCUACUCUUGACAUCCACGGAAUUUGGCAGAGAUGCCUUAGUGCCUUCGGGAACCGUGAGACAGGUGCUGCAUGGCUGUCGUCAGCUCGUGUUGUGAAAUGUUGGGUUAAGUCCCGCAACGAGCGCAACCCUUAUCCUUUGUUGCCAGCGAUUCGGUCGGGAACUCAAAGGAGACUGCCGGUGAUAAACCGGAGGAAGGUGGGGAUGACGUCAAGUCAUCAUGGCCCUUACGAGUAGGGCUACACACGUGCUACAAUGGCGCAUACAAAGAGAAGCGACCUCGCGAGAGCAAGCGGACCUCAUAAAGUGCGUCGUAGUCCGGAUCGGAGUCUGCAACUCGACUCCGUGAAGUCGGAAUCGCUAGUAAUCGUGGAUCAGAAUGCCACGGUGAAUACGUUCCCGGGCCUUGUACACACCGCCCGUCACACCAUGGGAGUGGGUUGCAAAAGAAGUAGGUAGCUUAACCUUCGGGAGGGCGCUUACCACUUUGUGAUUCAUGACUGGGGUGAAGUCGUAACAAGGUAC